UACGUAGGUGGCAAGCGUUGUCCGGAUUUACUGGGCGUAAAGAGCGCGCAGGCGGUCGUUCAAGUCGCGUGUGAAAGCCCCCGGCUCAACUGGGGAGGGUCACGCGAUACUGAUCGACUCGAAGGCAGGAGAGGGUAGUGGAAUUCCCGGUGUAGUGGUGAAAUGCGUAGAUAUCGGGAGGAACAUCAGUGGCGAAAGCGGCUUCCUGGACCAGCACCGACGUUCAGGCACGAAAGCGUGGGGAGCAAACAGG
rnacentral:rRNA from 1 species